GCCAGUGAGAUCCAAGCCAUGAUGGUGGACUGGGGCAGGCGGUUAGCACCGGCAGCCGGCUGACCAGGUCCGCCAUCACCGAUCAUGGACCAGGGCAGUUG